rnacentral:lncRNA from 1 species
CUUCCACGACAGCGCCGCCGACCACAAAACUGGAGUCGCGAUCCGGCAGAGAUCGGAGAAGAAGGCAAGAGAAACUUGCUGCACCUUCAUGUAUCUGAGUUCCAAACAAGCACCAAGCCAACUGCAAUCCAAAUAAGAAAACAUGAAAAUCAGACCUCAAACAAUCUUCGUGAGGAAGAGCUUCUUCUGCCAAGAUAUCAACUAGACAAGCUAGAUGAAGAAAGAGGGAGGUUAGAUCCGUAUAUGGAUCAAAGAGACAGGCACAAGUGCAAGCAGUCCCUUGUAGCAUCCCCCGGUGCUCAAUCGGGAUAUACCCUACUCGAUUUAAGCUCCUAGGAGCAUAUUUACAGGAAUCGGCAGAUUGAAAGAGAUAAGAGCCGCCACCAUUGGCGACCCGCAAUGAGAACACCAAGUUUGAGGAGGAGAAAGUCAGAUCUGGAAAAAAGAGGGCAUGGGACAAGAGGAACUGACCGAGACGAAGAAGACAAAGAAAGAUAACAGACCAAACAAAGUAACCGGAAAGCCGAAAGGAGAGGCAUAUCGCCUCAGAUCGGAGUAGAACUCCGAGGAAAACCGGCCAAGACGGCUGGAGGAUAGAUCCUAACAAGGGUGGAACCGAUAUAGAAGACAUACUUCUAGAUAAGGGAAAUAACAAGAAAGCAGGAAAUUGAGAGUCUCCCCCGAUUCUUAAGCCA